CUUCCGUUAAUUGAUUAUGACGUGCUUGCACUGAAUGAGAUUUUAACACGAAGUGAGUGGCGGACGGGUGAGUAACACGUGGGUAACCUGCCCAGAAGCAGGGGAUAACACCUGGAAACAGAUGCUAAUACCGUAUAACAGAGAAAACCGCCUGGUUUUCUUUUAAAAGAUGGCUCUGCUAUCACUUCUGGAUGGACCCGCGGCGCAUUAGCUAGUUGGUGAGGUAACGGCUCACCAAGGCGAUGAUGCGUAGCCGACCUGAGAGGGUAAUCGGCCACAUUGGGACUGAGACACGGCCCAGACUCCUACGGGAGGCAGCAGUAGGGAAUCUUCCACAAUGGACGCAAGUCUGAUGGAGCAACGCCGCGUGAGUGAAGAAGGGUUUCGGCUCGUAAAGCUCUGUUGUUAAAGAAGAACGUGGGUGAGAGUAACUGUUCACCCAGUGACGGUAUUUAACCAGAAAGCCACGGCUAACUACGUGCCAGCAGCCGCGGUAAUACGUAGGUGGCAAGCGUUAUCCGGAUUUAUUGGGCGUAAAGCGAGCGCAGGCGGUCUUUUAAGUCUAAUGUGAAAGCCUUCGGCUCAACCGAAGAAGUGCAUUGGAAACUGGGAGACUUGAGUGCAGAAGAGGACAGUGGAACUCCAUGUGUAGCGGUGAAAUGCGUAGAUAUAUGGAAGAACACCAGUGGCGAAGGCGGCUGUCUGGUCUGUAACUGACGCUGAGGCUCGAAAGCAUGGGUAGCGAACAGGAUUAGAUACCCUGGUAGUCCAUGCCGUAAACGAUGAUUACUAAGUGUUGGAGGGUUUCCGCCCUUCAGUGCUGCAGCUAACGCAUUAAGUAAUCCGCCUGGGGAGUACGACCGCAAGGUUGAAACUCAAAAGAAUUGACGGGGGCCCGCACAAGCGGUGGAGCAUGUGGUUUAAUUCGAAGCUACGCGAAGAACCUUACCAGGUCUUGACAUCUUCUGCCAACCUAAGAGAUUAGGCGUUCCCUUCGGGGACAGAAUGACAGGUGGUGCAUGGUUGUCGUCAGCUCGUGUCGUGAGAUGUUGGGUUAAGUCCCGCAACGAGCGCAACCCUUAUUACUAGUUGCCAGCAUUCAGUUGGGCACUCUAGUGAGACUGCCGGUGACAAACCGGAGGAAGGUGGGGACGACGUCAAAUCAUCAUGCCCCUUAUGACCUGGGCUACACACGUGCUACAAUGGAUGGUACAACGAGUCGCGAAACCGCGAGGUUUAGCUAAUCUCUUAAAACCAUUCUCAGUUCGGACUGUAGGCUGCAACUCGCCUACACGAAGUCGGAAUCGCUAGUAAUCGCGGAUCAGCAUGCCGCGGUGAAUACGUUCCCGGGCCUUGUACACACCGCCCGUCACACCAUGAGAGUUUGUAACACCCAAAGCCGGUGGG
rnacentral:rRNA from 1 species